UACGUAGGGUGCAAGCGUUGUCCGGAAUUAUUGGGCGUAAAGAGCUCGUAGGCGGUCUGUCGCGUCUGCUGUGAAAACUCAGGGCUUAACCCUGAGCUUGCAGUGGGUACGGGCAGACUAGAGUGCGGUAGGGGAGACUGGAAUUCCUGGUGUAGCGGUGAAAUGCGCAGAUAUCAGGAGGAACACCGGUGGCGAAGGCGGUUCUCUGGGCAUUACCUGACGGCUGAGGAGCGAAAGUGUGGGGAGCGAACAGG
rnacentral:rRNA from 1 species